CCUAUGCGUGUCACUUGUGACUGUGUAGAGGUUGAGCAGUAGGCAAGCGACCCGAAAGAUGGUGAACUAUGCCUGAGCAGGAUGAAGCCAGAGGAAACUCUGGUGGAAGUCCGUAUCGGUUCUGACGUGCAAAUCGAUCGAUAGACUUGGGUAUAGGGGCGAAAGACUAAUCGAACCAUCUAGUAGCUGGUUCCUUCCGAAGUUUCCCUCAGGAUAGCUGGAACUCUUGCAGUUAUAUUCGGUAAAGCUAAUGAUUAGAGGCCUUGGGGACGUAAUGUCCUCAACCUAUUCUCAAACUUUCAAUGGAUAUGGCGUCGCAGUUUCUUUAGUGAACUGCGGCGUGAAUGCGAGUUCCAAGUGGGCCAUUUUUGGUAAGCAGAACUGGCGCUGUGGGAUGAACCAAACGUGGAGUUAAGGUGCCUAACUUCUCGCUUAUGAGACCCCAUAAAAGGUGUUGGUUGAUAUUGACAGCAGGACGGUGGCCAUGGAAGUCGGUACCCGCUAAGGAGUGUGUAACAACUCACCUGCCGAAUCAACUAGCCCUGAAAAUGGAUGGCGCUUAAGCGAGAGACCUAUACUCCGCCGUCGCGGCAUGUGCGUUGUCUAGCGCCAGGUCGCGACGAGUAGGAAGGACGUGGCGGUUGCGUUAGAAGGCUAUGAGCGUAGGCUCGGCUGGAGCUUCCGUCAGUGCAGAUCGUAAUGGUAGUAGCAAAUAUUCAAGUUCGAUCCUUGAAGACUGAAGUGGAGAAGGGUUCCACGUGAACAGUAGUUGGAUGUGGGUCAGUCGAUCCUAAGGUACUGGCGAAAGCCUUGUAUCAUCGGUGGCGAAAAGCUUGCUUUUUGUCCCCGCCCGUCGAAAGGGAAUAGGGUUAAUAUUCCCUAACUGAGAUGCAAAGAUUGUGUUCUUCGGAGCACAAGCGCGGUAACGCGUUCGAACUUGGUAAGUCGCUCAGAGACCGAGCUAGAGUUUUCUUCUCUAGUUAAGGAACGGACUCCCUGGAAUUGGUUCAGCCAGAGAUGGGGACGUUGUUUCCGAAAAGCACCGCGGUUUCUGUGGUGUCUCGUGCUCUCUGAACGGCCCUUUAAACACCAAGGGAGGCUAUUAAUUUGCACUCAAUCGUACCGAUAUCCGCAUUAGGUCUCCAAGGUGAACAGCCUCUAGUCGAUAGAAUAAUGUAGGUAAGGGAAGUCGGCAAACUAGAUCCGUAACUUCGGGAAAAGGAUUGGCUCCAGUGGUCGGAACGGUUGGCCAGUUGGUUGAUGCUUGUCCGGCGCUGUUCUGUCUGCUUGAUGCUUUCGGGCUGAUGGCGGCCUAGUGAUAGUGCUUGCUUGUUGACGCUUUUCUGGUGUGUGCUUUUGACCUCCGGUCUAGUAUCCUGAUCGUUC
rnacentral:ncRNA from 1 species